GUGAAGCACUCUAAGAGGAGGAGCUUACUCUAGAGAGAGAGAAGGAGGUUCGGCAAGAAGGCGGGAAGAAAGCGGCGAAGAAGCGGCGGAGAACGAGCCUCGUCGGAGUUGCGGGUCUUCGCCGGAAUUCGCCAAAAUCAGUCAGAAAAAAAAAACCUAGGCCGUUUGCUAUAAAAUUAUAUCGUCGAAGAGAUAACUCAACAAGGUUCGACGAGCGGCUCUAAAGGAAAGGAGGUAGCUGAAGAAUAAGUUUAAUUUGCUGUCUAUAGCAUGUUUAGAAUAUUUUCAUUUAUAUGCGAACCUAUGUAUGUCUUGGAUAUGUUUAAGACGUUCAGUUAUAUCUUGCGAGAGAUGAUGUCCAUGUAAUUCAUUUUGUAAACGUCUUGAACAAUUUUAUGAUAAAUAAAAUGAUAUGG